GUGGGGAAUUUUGGACAAUGGGCGCAAGCCUGAUCCAGCAAUGCCGCGUGCAGGAAGAAGGCCUUCGGGUUGUAAACUGCUUUUGUACGGAACGAAACGGUCCGGGUUAAUACCCUGGGCUAAUGACGGUACCGUAAGAAUAAGCACCGGCUAACUACGUGCCAGCAGCCGCGGUAAUACGUAGGGUGCAAGCGUUAAUCGGAAUUACUGGGCGUAAAGCGUGCGCAGGCGGUUUUGUAAGACAGGCGUGAAAUCCCCGGGCUCAACCUGGGAAUUGCGCUUGUGACUGCAAGGCUGGAGUGCGGCAGAGGGGGAUGGAAUUCCGCGUGUAGCAGUGAAAUGCGUAGAUACGCGGAGGAACACCGAUGGCGAAGGCAAUCCCCUGGGCCUGCACUGACGCUCAUGCACGAAAGCGUGGGGAGCAAACAGGAUUAGAUACCCCGGUAGUCC
rnacentral:rRNA from 1 species